rnacentral:rRNA from 1 species
UACGUAGGGGGCAAGCGUUGUCCGGAUUCAUUGGGCGUAAAGAGCGUGUAGGCGGCCAGGUAGGUCGGUUGUGAAAACUGGAGGCUCAACCUUCAGACGUCGACCGAAACCAUCUGGCUAGAGUCCGGGAGAGGAGAGUGGAAUUCCUGGUGUAGCGGUGAAAUGCGCAGAUAUCAGGAAGAACACCCGUGGCGAAGGCGGCUCUCUGGGACGGUACUGACGCUGAGGUGCGAAAGCGUGGGGAGCAAACAGG